GACGAACGCUGGCGGCGUGCUUAACACAUGCAAGUCGAACGGAAAGGCCCUGCUUUUGUGGGGUGCUCGAGUGGCGAACGGGUGAGUAACACGUGAGUAACCUGCCCUUGACUUUGGGAUAACUUCAGGAAACUGGGGCUAAUACCGGAUAGGAGCUCCUGCUGCAUGGUGGGGGUUGGAAAGUUUCGGCGGUUGGGGAUGGACUCGCGGCUUAUCAGCUUGUUGGUGGGGUAGUGGCUUACCAAGGCUUUGACGGGUAGCCGGCCUGAGAGGGUGACCGGCCACAUUGGGACUGAGAUACGGCGCAGACUGCAACGGGAGGCAGCAGUGGGGAAUAUUGCACAAUGGGCGGAAGCCUGAUGCAGCAACGCCGCGUGCGGGAUGACGGCCUUCGGGUUGUAAACCGCUUUCGCCUGAGACGAAGCGUGAGUGACGGUAAUGGGUAAAGAAGCACCGGCUAACUACGUG
rnacentral:rRNA from 1 species